rnacentral:rRNA from 1 species
AGUGAACGCUGGCGGUAGGCCUAACACAUGCAAGUCGAACGGCAGCACAGUAAGAGCUUGCUCUUACGGGUGGCGAGUGGCGGACGGGUGAGGAAUACAUCGGAAACUACUUUUUCGUGGGGGAUAACGUAGGGAAACUUAUGCUAAUACCGCAUACGACCUACGGGUUAAAGCAGGGGAUCUUCGGACCUUGCGCGAUUGAAUGAGCCGAUGUCGGAUUAGCUAGUUGGCGGGGUAAAGGCCCACCAAGGCGACGAUCCGUAGCUGGUCUGAGAGGAUGAUCAGCAACACUGGAACUGAGACACGGUCCAGACUCCUACGGGAGGCAGCAGUGGGGAAUAUUGGACAAUGGGCGCAAGCCUGAUCCAGCCAUACCGCGUGGGUGAAGAAGGCCUUCGGGUUGUAAAGCCCUUUUGUUGGGAAAGAAAAGCAGCAGGUUAAUACCCCGCUGUUCUGACGGUACCCAAAGAAUAAGCACCGGCUAACUUCGUG